UUAACUCAAAUUUGUAUGGAGUUGGAACGUUUGCCUAAAUUUGCCGCUAGGGGCGCUGUUCCAACUGCAUAUAAGUUUGAGUUA
rfam:Bombyx mori DNA, contig: Bm_scaf61_contig29173, strain: p50T/Dazao, build 2, whole genome shotgun sequence.